rnacentral:tRNA from 1 species
GCGGGCGCUGGCGGAGGCCGGCGCUGGCGCCUUCGACGCCCCGGUCUCGCGCUACAUGACCGCCAAGGUCACCACCUGCACCCGCGCCA